rnacentral:rRNA from 1 species
AUUGAACGCUGGCGGCAGGCCUAACACAUGCAAGUCGAGCGAGCGGCGGACGGGUGAGUAAGGUAUGGGGAUCGUCCCGAGAGAGGGGGAUCACUAAUGGAAACUGUGGAUAAUACCGCAUACUAUAGGAUGAACCCAUAUGGGAGUAGCUAGUAGGUGGGGUACAGCCUCACCUAGGCGACGAUCUCUAGCUGGUCUGAGAGGAUGAUCAGCAACACUGGGACUGAGACACGGCCCAGACUCCUACGGGAGGCAGCAGUGGGGAAUAUUGCACAAUGGGCGCAAGCCUGAUGCAGCCAUGCCGCGUGUAUGAAGAAGGCCUUAGGGUUGUAAAGCACUUUCAGCGGGGAGGCGUUACCCGCAGAAGAAGCACCGGCUAACGCCGUGCCAGCAGCCGCGGUAAUUC